CGCUGGGCACCGCUGGGCACCGCCGGGCACCAGUGGGCACGGGUGGGCACGGGUGGGUACUGGUGGUGCUGGACACUGGUGGGUACUGGGCACCGCUGGGCACCGCUGGGCACCGCUGGGCACCGGUGGUGCUGGGCACUGGUCACUGGUGGGUACUGGGCACUGGUGGUCACUUGGAGCGCUGGUGGGCACUGGGCACUGGUGGGCACUGGUCACUGGUGGGUACUGGGCACUGGUGGUCACUUGGAGCGCUGGUGGGCACUGGGCACCGCUGGGCACUGGUGGGCACUUGGAGCGCUGGUGGGCACUGGGCACUGGUGGGCACUGGUGGGCACUUGGAGCGCUGGUGGUCACUUGGAGCACUGGUGGUCACCGUUGGUCACUGGUCACUGGUGGGCACUGGUCACUGAUGGGCACUGGUCACUGGUGGGUACUGGUCACUGGUGGUCACUUGGAGCGCUGGUGGGCACUGGGCACCGCUGGGCACUGGUGGGCACUUGGAGCGCUGGUGGUCACUUGGAGCACUGGUGGUCACCGUUGGUCACUGGUCACUGGUGGUCACUGGUCACUGGUGGGUACUGGUCACUGGUGGGCACUUGGAGCACUGGUGGUCACCGUUGGUCACUGGUCACUGGUGGUCACUGGUCACUGGUCACUGGUCACUGGUGGUGAUGGUCACUGGUGGCACUGGUCACUGGUCACUGGUCACUGGUCACUGGUGGUGCUGGUCACUGGUGGCCAGCACCAAUCACUGCUCUCAGUCACUGGUGGCACUGGUUUAACUGGUGUCCAUCCGGGAUGUCACUGGUUUAACUGGUGUCACUGGUGUCUGGCACUGGUUUAACUGGUCUAACUGGUCUCUAACUAGUCUAACUGGUCUCUAACUGGUCUCUAACUGGUCUCUAACUAGUCUAACUGGUCUCUAACUGGUCUCUAACUGGUCUCCAACUGGUCCCUAACUGGUCUCUAACUGGUCUCUAACUGGUAUAACUGGUCUAACUGGUCUGUAGCUGAUCUCUAGCUGGUCUCUAACUGGUCUAACUGGUCUCUAACUGGUCUAACUGGUCUAACUAGUCUCUAACUGGUCUAACUGGUCUAACUGGUCUCUAACUGGUCUAACUGGUGUCCCGCUGUCCGGCACUGGUCAGCGCAGUCCGGCCGGGCGUGGCCGGGGUGGGGGAGGGGCCGUUUGGGGGGUUCUCCCCCCCCCGCCCCUCCCCCCAGGAAGGAGCGGGG
rnacentral:lncRNA from 1 species